CCUCACACACCAACUGCCUAUAAGCCACCUCGGAUGAUGAGACGUCUUUCAAAGAAGCAUUUACUGCCACCUUUUGAUCCACCUGAUAU
rnacentral:sRNA from 1 species